UACGUAGGGUGCAAGCGUUGCCCGGAUUUAUUGGGCGUAAAGGGCGCGCAGGCGGCUACGCACGUCCGUUGUGAAAUCGCUCGGCUCAACUGGGCGGGGUCGGCGGAUACGGCGUAGCUGGAGCAAGCUAGGGGGCAAUGGAAUUCCCGGUGUAGUGGUGGAAUGCGUAGAUAUCGGGAGGAACACCAGUGGCGAAGGCGGUUGCCUGGAGCUUUGCUGACGCUGAAGCGCGAAAGCGUGGGGAGCGAUCCGG
rnacentral:rRNA from 1 species